rnacentral:rRNA from 1 species
UACAGAGGUCUCAAGCGUUGUUCGGAUUCAUUGGGCGUAAAGGGUGCGUAGGCGGCGCGGUGAGUCGGAUGUGAAAUCUCGGAGCUUAACUCCGAAACUGCAUUCGAUACUGCCGUGCUUGAGGACUGGAGAGGAGACUGGAAUUUACGGUGUAGCGGUGAAAUGCGUAGAUAUCGUAAGGAAGACCAGUGGCGAAGGCGGGUCUCUGGGCUAUAACUGACGCUCAUGCACGAAAGCGUGGGGAGCAAACAGG